GUGAGACCCCGUUUCAGAAAAAAAAAAAAAAAAUUUGACCAAUAUUCAAGUUUACCUAUUCUUUCCUUAGCUAUCUCAAGUCUACUGAUAAACCACCAAAAGGCAUUCCUCAUUUCUGCUACUGUUUCUUUGAUUUCUAGCAUUUCCUUUUGAUUCUUUCUCAUAGUUUCUGUCUGUAUUGACAUUAUCUAUCUGAUUUUGCAUGUUGUGUACUUUUUUCCAUCCCUUUUUUUAUUAAUCAUAGUGUAACUGUGUACCCUCAUUUUUCUAAGAGAUAGUUUUUUACUAUCUUUCUUCUUCUCGCUCUCCUUCUUUUCCCCACUUCCUACUUAGGUCUUUAGAAAUGCAGUUAUAGCCUUUACCUCCUCUUCACCAGACACUCCCUAGAGGGCAAGUUUAUUUAACUAGGUUGUUAGAAGCUCCAGAGUGAAACUCUCCUACCAGGAGGCUGCCUAAAGAAACAACAGUCCAUCUACUACCUAAAGUAUUUCCACUGUGAAACUCUCUCCCACCUGGAGAAUUUUCUGCUGCUUUUACAACCUAGUCUUGUCCACAAAGGGACCAGCAGUUACCAGCUUGACCACCCGGUAGAUAAGGCACCGAGGCUAGUAUGCAGACCCCCCACCUGCUCACUGACUCCUCUGCAUGUCAUUCAUGCCAGCAUGCUGGGCCCCCUUUAAAAGCACCCCACUUUCUGCUCCAAAAGUGAGGUGGUACCCAUAAAGACAAGAUCCUGCUCCUCUUCCCCUAAGCAAGCUUUGGAAUAAAAUGUCACUUUCUUUAUACCUUGCUCCUGUUAAUUGGAGUGACUGGACUUGUGUUUUGGUUACAAAAUGUGGAGUGGGGAGUGACUGGACUUGUGUUUUGGUUACAAUUUUUGUGGCUCAUAUGGGGAAGUACUUCAUGCCCUGGGUGAGCUAACUUUGUCAGCCCAGUUUCACUACCAGGUGAGGUGUGGGGUCACCUGUGAGUGCCAGCUGCUCAUGGCUAGCAGACCCCAUAAUGGGAACAUUAGGAAACUUCCCAGAAGCUGCCAAAAAUGAAUUUGUUUUGGGGGAAGCUCCCUUUUGCCUCAUGGCAUGACAACUGCUGCCUUUGGUGCUUCACUGGUACAAGCAAAAUGGCCUCUUAAGACGCUGACAAACUUUGAAACUGAGUGAGACGGGAAAGUGGGCUGGAGUUGAGCAGAGUUCAGAGUUCUCCUAGCUAGGGGCAUACUCUGGAGUACGCAAAUCCAACAGUCCUGACAGAGGAAAGCAGCUUCCUGUAUAGUUGACCUGGAAGGUCAACUUCUUGUCAGAGUUUUACAUGAAUUAUUUUUAUGGUGGAAAUAGAUGUAAAUGUUCCACCAAAAAUGAUUUUUAUCAGGAACUGUCACAGCCACCUCAACCUUCAGCAACCACCACUGUUCAAGGCAACAUCCUUCAGCAGCAGAAAGAUUGACUCGCUGUAGGCUCAGACAUGGGGCCUCACUAUGUUUCACAGGCUGGUCUAAAACUCCUGAGCUCCAGGGAUCUGCCUGCCUCCGCUUCCCAAAGUGGUGGGAUUGUAGGCAUGAGCCAUCAUGCCUGGCCUGCUGUGAGUUUUAAAUAAAAAUGUAAAUGCUCUUCUCCAUUUUCUUACCUCUCCUUUUAAAGUGUGUGUGUGUGUGUUUUUUUUUUAAUGUCAUAUAAGUAAUACGUAUUCGUGGUAGAAAUAUUUUUUUAAAAAAUAGAAGCAAAAAAGUCACAAUCAUCCUAAUUAUCACUAUUUGUAGAUAAUCACUACAUUUUGACACAUAUAAUUCUAGAGUUUUACCUAUAUAAAUGAUACACUUAUUACUAUCUGUAGGCACUAUGUUAAGCAUUUUAUAUUAUCUUUGUUUUUCUUUCUAAUGGCUUUAUAAAAUUUGGUUUGUGUUUAUAUUCUAAGUAGAAAACUAAGGUAUACAGAAGCUUGCUUAACAUCCCAAAGAAAGAUAAUAAGUAUAGUUGGAAUUUGUUAUACAUUCCACUAAAAU
rnacentral:lncRNA from 1 species